GACCGGGACAGUACAUCAAUCCAACUAUAAUGCAGGUGUACUAAAGUGAGUUCAGGACAGAAACCUCCAGUGGAGCAGAAGAGCAAAAGCUUACGUAAUCUUAUUUUCAGUAGAAAUACAGUGAAUGACGU